rnacentral:rRNA from 1 species
UGAGGAAUAUUGGUCAAUGGACGAGAGUCUGAACCAGCCAAGUAGCGUGCAGGAAGACGGCCCUAUGGGUUGUAAACUGCUUUUAUAAGGGAAUAAAGUGAGAGUCGUGACUCUUUUUGCAUGUACCUUAUGAAUAAGGACCGGCUAAUUCCGUGCCAGCAGCCGCGGUAAUACGGAAGGUCCGGGCGUUAUCCGGAUUUAUUGGGUUUAAAGGGAGCGUAGGCCGGAGAUUAAGCGUGUUGUGAAAUGUAGACGCUCAACGUCUGCACUGCAGCGCGAACUGGUUUCCUUGAGUACGCACAAAGUGGGCGGAAUUCGUGGUGUAGCGGUGAAAUGCUUAGAUAUCACGAAGAACUCCGAUUGCGAAGGCAGCUCACUGGAGCGCAACUGACGCUGAAGCUCGAAAGUGCGGGUAUCGAACA